rnacentral:rRNA from 1 species
GACAGAGGGUGCAAACGUUUGUUCGGAAUUACUGGGCGUAAAGCGCGUGUAGGCUGCUUCGCAAGUCGGAUGUGAAAGCCCUGGGCUCAACCCAGGAAGUGCAUUCGAAACUGCAGAGCUGGAGUCCUGGAGAGGAAGGCGGAAUUCUCGGUGUAGAGGUGAAAUUCGUAGAUAUCAGGAGGAACACCAGUGGCGAAGGCGGCGAUCUGGGAAGAUACUGACGCUGAGGUGCGAAAGCUAGGGGAGCAAACGGG